UGGCUCAGUGGUUAAGAGCACUUGACUGCUCUUCCAGAGGUCCUGAGUUCGAUUCUCAG
rnacentral:tRNA from 1 species